rnacentral:rRNA from 1 species
UACGUAGGGUGCAAGCGUUAAUCGGAAUUACUGGGCGUAAAGCGUGCGCAGGCGGUUUUGUAAGUUUGUCGUGAAAGCCCCGGGCUCAACCUGGGAAUGGCGAUGAAGACUGCAAGGCUUGAAUCUGGCAGAGGGGGGUAGAAUUCCACGUGUAGCAGUGAAAUGCGUAGAGAUGUGGAGGAACACCGAUGGCGAAGGCAGCCCCCUGGGUCAAGAUUGACGCUCAUGCACGAAAGUGUGGGGAGCAAACAGG